AAUCUUGUGUUGAUCCUUAUUGAAAGCAGAAAUACAUUCACAUUCUUUAAAUUAAGCUUCAUCCUUGUUUUUUUGAAACAGUGAAUCUGGAAAAAUAGAACUAUCACUCAGUAGUAGGUGAAAAGACCAACACCUAUGUAUAGAAGACAUAAAGCACAUUUCUGCUCUGUGCUUCAUACACUGCUUUCCAUUCACCUUCAUGGAGUGAAAGAAGGAAUUGUGUUCAGAUACUAAAUAAAAUUAUUCUCUCCCAUAUUAACUUAUCUGAGAUACUAUUUUCACAUUUUUUCCUUGACUUCUAUUUGAAGAUUUCACUUAUGUUUGAGGUACAAUCCCGCAGCUCUCUUAAAGUUCUCUUAAAUACUAAAAAAUAAAGGUGUGUUAAAAUAAGUGAGAAGAACAAAGUAUUUCCUAUUGAGAAGGGGUUUUUCCUGUUUCUCUGAGAAUUUGUUGUUUUUCAUAAUAAGUUCAAAGGUCCUAGUGAAAGGAUAAUGUGCCAGUUUGAAUUGAAGUACAAGUAUAUUGCAUUUUAGACCCGAUUUCUAUUUUAUUUAAUGUCCUGUGUUUCAAGAUGUUAAUAGUGGUAAUUUUUUAGGAUAAAUCUGAGAAAAUAAGGAAUAUCAAAACUUGUAUCUAAAUGAAAGUAAUUUUUCUUUCCCUUCUUUUAAAAGAAAUACCUUUUAAAGAGAAUGUUGCCAAUAUACCAUUAUUAUGCAGGUUUUAUUCGUCAAAAUGCUGAUGCUUUGGAAGAUGACUAUUUUGCUCAAGUAUAUUUGGAAAAAUUCUUGGCAACAGCGUGCUGGCUGGGCCUCCAGGACUGUUUGGACCUGUCAUCUGAACUGUAUGCUAAGUGGAGGGACAACCCUGAGUACAAGUAAGAAUGGUGAUCUGCUCUUAGAAGUGUGCAUGUCAAAGGGAGGUGGAAAGUUAAAAGGCUGUUACAAGGGGGAGGCAGAACGAGAAAUGCCUCUGUACACUGCUCUUGUUUCUCAGCAGAAUGACAGAAUGUAAGACAGCUGUGUCUGCCCAAACUCCUCCUCUUCCCCAAAUGCCAGCUUUAGGAUGAUUUCAUAAUUUCUGCUUUUUACAUAGACUUUGCAAGCUGGAGGAUGCAGGUUUUGCCAUGAAGACCAAAAUGUGGUUGGCCAUGUAAAAGGUGAACCUUCUGUUAGUGCUAAUAUCCCACAUGGCCCAAUCCCCUUGCUGUAGUACAGCCUUGGGGUUAUCACGUACACCAAAUCAGCUUUUAAGCUUCUCUUAACAGUACUGAGUGAAGUGAUGUUUGCAUGAUACGGCCAUCUGCCCAUGGUGAGCCCAUCAAAGUGGCUUGCAUGUUCUGUGUUCCCAUAAAGAGGUGUUGGGAACAGCUCUCCAUCCUCAUUCUGGUACUGGAGCCCGCUGGUCAGG
rnacentral:lncRNA from 1 species